GGCCUACCAUGGUGGUAACGGGUAACGGGGUGUUAGGGCACGACACCGGAGAGGGAGCCUGAGAAACGGCUACCACAUCCAAGGAUGGCAGCAGGCGCGCAAAUUACCCAAUCCCGACACGGGGAGGUAGUGACAAUAAAUAACAAUACGGGGUCCUUUAGGGUUUCGUAAUUGGAAUGAGUACAAUUUAAAUCUCUUAACAAGGAACAAUUGGAGGGCAAGUCUGGUGCCAGCAGCCGCGGUAAUUCCAGCUCCAAUAGCGUAUAUUAAAGUUGUUGCAGUUAAAAAGCUCGUAGUUGAAUUUCGGGAUCAGUACGCUGGUCGUGCCUUCGGUAUGUACUGGUGUUACUGGUUCCUACCUUCUGACGAACCGUCAUGUCAUUAAUUUGGUGUGGCGGGAAAUCAGGACUGUUACUUUGAAAAAAUUAGAGUGUUUAAAGCAGGCUCGCGCUUGAAUACAUUAGCAUGGAAUAAUGAAAUAGGACGUUCGAUCCUAUUUUGUUGGUUUCUAGGAUUGACGUAAUGAUUAAUAGGGAUAGUUGGGGGCAUUAGUAUUCAAUUGUCAGAGGUGAAAUUCUUGGAUUUAUUGAAGACUAACUACUGCGAAAGCAUUUGCCAAGGAUGUUUUCAUUAAUCAAGAACGAAAGUUAGGGGAUCGAAGACGAUCAGAUACCGUCGUAGUCUUAACCAUAAACUAUGCCGACUAGGGGAUCGGAUGAUGGUAAUUUUUUAAUGACUCAUUCGGCGCCUUACG
rnacentral:rRNA from 1 species